GAUGAACGCUGGCGGCGUGCCUAAUACAUGCAAGUCGAGCGAACGGACGAGAAGCUUUCUUUUCUGAUGUUAGCGGCGGACGGGUGAGUAACACGUGGAUAACCUACCUAUAAGACUGGGAUAACUUCGGGAAACCGGAGCUAAUACCGGAUAAUAUUUUGAACCGCAUGGUUCAAAAGUGAAAGACGGUCUUGCUGUCACUUAUAGAUGGAUCCGCGCUGCAUUAGCUAGUUGGUAAGGUAACGGCUUACCAAGGCAACGAUGCAUAGCCGACCUGAGAGGGUGAUCGGCCACACUGGAACUGAGACACGGUCCAGACUCCUACGGGAGGCAGCAGUAGGGAAUCUUCCGCAAUGGGCGAAAGCCUGACGGAGCAAAGCCGCGUGAGUGAUGAAGGUCUUCGGAUCGUAAAACUAUGUUAUUAGGGAAGAACAUAUGUGUAAGUAACUGUGCACAUCUUGACGGUACCUAAUCAGAAAGCCACGGCUAACUACGUG
rnacentral:rRNA from 1 species